UGCAAGCUCUCCUGGUUCUGAGGACAGGCACUGCUUCUUUGAUUUUUAUUGUUGUUCAUUCAGUUCCAGGCUGUUGUUCGAAUGGGAUUGGCCUGCUGACUGGAGAACAAUGCUGGUCUUCUUUAUUCAAGUUUGUUUGCCACAUUCUAUAGCCUGUAUUGUCAGAAAAAAGCCACAUCCUGUUGGAUUCUCAUCCUUCUUGACUGAAACCCACUGAGAGAAGAGCUUUUCAAAAUAAAACCACUUCAUUAAAAAUUGCUGUGAGUAUG
rnacentral:lncRNA from 1 species